AGCUUGCUCUUGUGGAUCAGUGGCGAACGGGUGAGUAACACGUGAGCAACCUGCCCCUGACUCUGGGAUAAGCGCUGGAAACGGCGUCUAAUACUGGAUAUGUGACGUGACCGCAUGGUCUGCGUUUGGAAAGAUUUUUCGGUUGGGGAUGGGCUCGCGGCCUAUCAGCUUGUUGGUGAGGUAAUGGCUCACCAAGGCGUCGACGGGUAGCCGGCCUGAGAGGGUGACCGGCCACACUGGGACUGAGACACGGCCCAGACUCCUACGGGAGGCAGCAGUGGGGAAUAUUGCACAAUGGGCGAAAGCCUGAUGCAGCAACGCCGCGUGAGGGAUGACGGCCUUCGGGUUGUAAACCUCUUUUAGCAGGGAAGAAGCGAAAGUGACGGUACCUGCAGAAAAAGCGCCGGCUAACUACGUGCCAGCAGCCGCGGUAAUACGUAGGGCGCAAGCGUUAUCCGGAAUUAUUGGGCGUAAAGAGCUCGUAGGCGGUUUGUCGCGUCUGCUGUGAAAUCCCGAGGCUCAACCUCGGGCCUGCAGUGGGUACGGGCAGACUAGAGUGCGGUNAGGGGAGAUUGGAAUUCCUGGUGUAGCGGUGGAAUGCGCAGAUAUCAGGAGGAACACCGAUGGCGAAGGCAGAUCUCUG
rnacentral:rRNA from 1 species